CCUACGGGAGGCAGCAGUGAGGAAUAUUGGUCAAUGGACGAGAGUCUGAACCAGCCAAGUAGCGUGAAGGAUGACUGCCCUAUGGGUUGUAAACUGCUUUUAUAUGGGAAUAAAAUGUUCCACGUGUGGGUUUUUGUAUGUACCAUAUGAAUAAGGAUCGGCUAACUCCGUGCCAGCAGCCGCGGUAAUACGGAGGAUGCGAGCGUUAUCCGGAUUUAUUGGGUUUAAAGGGAGCGUAGGUGGAUUGUUAAGUCAGUUGUGGAAGUUUGCGGCUCAACGGUGGAAUUGCAGUUGAAACUGGCAGGCGAGAGUACAGUAGCGGUAGGCGGAAUUCGUGGUGUAGCGGUGAAAUGCUUAGAUAUCACGAAGAACUCCGAUUGCGAAGGCAGCUCACUAGACUGCAACUGACACUGAGGCUCGAAAGUGUGGGUAUCAAACAGGAUUAGAUACCCUGGUAGUC
rnacentral:rRNA from 1 species